CGUCACUCUCCAACCAUUUAUUAACAAAAUAUGCAACAGUUUAGUAAGAUAAUACACGUACCCAAGCAAUGACACAUACGUGUAAUAAACAUGACUUCUUAGGAAAAGCCGCGUGCCGUGUUAUUAUGGUUAUAAGCGUGCAAUAGUCACAUAUGGACUGCAGACAGGUGAGUCGUGCCGGUGAGCACGCGCCAAGGCCACCGGCCAACCACUAUGCGCGAAGACGACACUUUUGCGCAUGCGCUUAUGUCCUGCCUGCUUUCUUAUCAGUGGGCGUUCGGUGAAGUUUGCCGCGAAUGGAGUGGUGCCGAGGAGAAUGGACCGCGGAGUAUAACUCGGAGCGAAUGCGUAAAAAUAAGAGCUAACCCAUUUCCUUCCGGCUACAGAGCACGCCCCCUGAUGACAUCAUUUCCUCCCUUCUUGUUAGAUGAUCCGCCUCUUCCUUCCUCACCACUAUAAAGAACCAGCAACUCUUACCUGCAGCAGUCUUGUAUUGGACUCAGUCCUAUGAGAUACUCAGUACUAACGAUCGCUCUUUUUCCCAUUGCAGAGAAAGUGAUAAUAUACGGGGCAGAUCCCACCCAAACCUAAA